CAAAAGCCCCCCGCUUACACCGAGGAGUUAUCUGUUUGACCCAGAUUAUUUUGA
rnacentral:tRNA from 2 species